AGGAGUUUAGGAUAAUUUAUUANAACCAUAGACCUUCAAAGCCUAAAAAAAAGGUGCAAACCCUCUAACUCCUG
rnacentral:tRNA from 1 species